rnacentral:rRNA from 1 species
UACGGAGGGUGCAAGCGUUACUCGGAAUCACUGGGCGUAAAGGACGCGUAGGCGGAUUAUCAAGUCUCUUGUGAAAUCUAACGGCUUAACCGUUAAACUGCUUGGGAAACUGAUAAUCUAGAGUAAGGGAGAGGCAGAUGGAAUCCUUGGUGUAGGGGUAAAAUCCGUAGAGAUCAAGAAGAAUACCCAUUGCGAAAGCGAUCUGCUGGAACUUAACUGACGCUAAUGCGUGAAAGCGUGGGGAGCAAACAGG